GUCAUCAUGCAGGGCUGGAUCGUUUUCGUCGUGCUGUCUCUAUAUAACCUAUCAGUUGGUACCGCUUAUUAUAAAAGUCCAAUCUAUGCUAUUCUAUGCAGGCGAACAGGAGGAUCAAUAACUUGUUAUCAAGACGACACUUGGGGCUUUAAUGAGAGGACUCGUAAGUGCUAUCGUGUUCGAAAGGCUACAGGACCAUGCGGCUUUUUCGAUGGCAAAAAAGGUUGCGUGGACUUUUGCCUCAAAUCUAAGGGAUAAGACAGCAUGUUAAGUGCUAAACUUAAAAAAAUGCUUGUCUUAAUAUAUAAUAAAAUAAAAUAAUAGUGGCCCUAACGUGUCUAAUACACCAUAUAAUGUAUGUCAAUCCAUACCUAAGAGAUAUCUAAAUCCAUGAAAAUGUGAAUUUCCUUCGCUGACAGCAAAUUGAAAUAAUAUGACUGUAUUUUUGUAACUCUACCAGUUAGGAUGAAUAUCUUUCACGAACGGUUCUUUAUUUUAUUAAUCCUAUCCAACAUGAUUCUCGGAAAUGCUGCCUCACUGAAAAACAUGUUCUGCCGUCCUAGUCAAGUUAAAGACUUUUGCUUGGAGGAGAACACUUGGGCAUUUGACCAGAAAACGAAAUCAUGUAAACUUGUGAUUGCCACCGUAGAACCUUGUGGGUUCUUUAAUAACGAAAAGGAUUGCACGGAGUUCUGCUUAAGCAAGUCAAAAAAUGUCUUAGAUAACCCCUUGAAAAAGAUGGAUCAACUGAACAGUACAUUGAAAAAUGUGAACCUCUAAAGCAACUUGGUACCAAGGGACUAGCCUGGUACGGGCAGCAGUGGUAUCUGUUCCCCAAAGAACACCAAAAGGAUUGUCUGAUACCUUAACUUAAAGUAAAAGCAAUCCCCAUUUUUUAUGUGUUUCGAGCCUUGCUUAUAAUUUUGUUAUUGUAAAUAAAAAACCUAAAAAAA